rnacentral:lncRNA from 1 species
UCUGAGAACGCCUCUAGUGUGCCCUCCUCCUAUUCCCCCAAUUAAGGGUCUGGUCCUUGAGGGCAGGGCCUCAGUAUUGGCCCUUGUUCAUCUCCCCAGGGUUUGGCAUAAAGCAGGAUCCCUUAACAGCCACCAUGGAUGGAGAGAGAUUGGGCCCAAAGAGAAAGCAGAUUCCUUAGGGGCCUUCAGACUUGCCGAGCAUUGUUGUUGCCUCCCACCCCACUUCUCCAUGGUAACACAGGAAGAAAAAAAAGGUUAAACAGAAUUGCCCGCCACAGCACCACAGCAGUGCAUGGAACAUUCUGGACUCCAGACCGCCAGCACUCACCCUGAACGCAGGUCUGCUCUGCUCUGCUGCCCUCUGCUCUGGCUUCUCUAAGUUUAAGAAAAAGAAACUAGUUUCUUGCUUUCAUCUAACACGCCUAAUUUCAGUGACUUCUCUCAUGUUCUUAGGCUGAAAUAAUUCCUUGCCCUAACCACAGCAUAAUCACUGUUACAUACUUUAAAGUUUGC